GAAAGUGUUGCCCGGACCAACAUGGCGGCUGCGUCAUUAGUGGAGGUGACGUAAUUCUACGGAAAGUGUGGCCCGGUCCAACAUGGCGGCGGCGUCGCUAGUGGAGGUGACGUAUUUCCGCUCUUGAGUGGAGCUCCACUCGCCCAUAUGUCUGCAGCCAGACCCUCUUGUUUGUUAUGGACAGAAGACUAUUUACAUCAUUAAAUUAAAGUUUACGGAAACCUUGUUUUCCCUCCUCUGCGGCUGUCAAUCAUUCAGUAUUCAAAUAGCGCGCACCUCGUCCAUUUACAGCAGGAUGUAUGAAGGAAAACUUAUUCUGGAACAACAGUCUGUGCUGUGAGAUGAGAACAGAGACACACUGAGCUUUAACCACUAACCAUCGACCAACUGCUGACUGAUGAGGAAACAUCAUUAGCUCCUGAGAGACAAAGACAAACUGAACCACAGUGAUCUGAACUGAAGACAGCGACUGUAACACAUUUCAGUUUCAUUCUGCAACAUGAACGGUGAAAAUCAGACCUUGUUAGAUAUCAUAAGGAUUAUCUUCUUCAUCACUAGUGUUUGUGUGGGUCUUCCAGCUCUGGUUUGGGCUUUUCGUCUUCUGUGGCUUCACAGAAAGAUCAGAGACCGAAUCUCAGUCUUCAUCCUCCUCCUCCUCUUCAAUGACCUGAUACAAUUGCCCCUUAAUCUAUAUUUACUGAGAGAUAUACUGACAGAUUUCAGAUACUUUAUCCCUGAGCUUGUUCUGUUUUGGUUGGGAUUACAUUGGUUUGGUUUUCAUCUGCAUCAGCUGGUGGCUCUGGAGGGGAUCUUGACUCUGAAAUAUCCACUUUGGUCUGCUCGUAUUUUCUCACUGCCCUGUUACAUCACAAUCUCCAUCCUUGUGCUUUUUUUUUCUAUAGUGAGUGCAUUAUUUCUUUUCUCGUAUCCGGAAUUUCAAAUUACAAACAUGUCAUUAUUCAGUCUCAGCACAAGUGUUGUUCCUCUGAUCGUAUUGUCUGUAUCAUCUACAAUCAGCUGUAAAGCCUCUUCCACUCCUGUCAGAAAAAACUGUUCAGUGCUCACUGUUGCUAUUCUUACAUAUGUUUUGAUGUACUUACCUUUCAUGUUCAUCAUCUGUGUGAAUUUCUUUCAUUUACACUCAUAUGUCAGCUCAUCUUGUUGGGUAAUGUUUUUCUGUUUGAUUAAUUCGAGAGUGUUUUCAGACUCUAUUCUGUGUGGUUUGGUCUGCAGAGAAAAUCUCAGAGAUGUUCAGACGCCACAAACACACACAGAACCCAACGCUGAUGAGACGUCAGUCUGAACUUGAGUUUCAUUAGUCCUCACGUCUGAAUCUGGCUUCAAAACAUACACCCAUCAGUAUAAUGAAAAAUUAUUAAUAAAAUAAAUAAUAUAUGA